AUUGAACGCUGGCGGCAUGCCUUACACAUGCAAGUCGAACGGGAGCACGGGAGCAAUCCUGGUGGCGAGUGGCGAACGGGUGAGUAAAGUAUCGGAACGUGCCCAGUCGUGGGGGAUAACGUAGCGAAAGUUACGCUAAUACCGCAUACGAUCUAUGGAUGAAAGCGGGGGAUCGCAAGACCUCGCGCGAUUGGAGCGGCCGAUAUCAGAUUAGGUAGUUGGUGGGGUAAAGGCUCACCAAGCCGACGAUCUGUAGCUGGUCUGAGAGGACGACCAGCCACACUGGGACUGAGACACGGCCCAGACUCCUACGGGAGGCAGCAGUGGGGAAUUUUGGACAAUGGGCGAAAGCCUGACCCAGCCAUGCCGCGUGCAGGAUGAAGGCCUUCGGGUUGUAAACUGCUUUUGUACGGAACGAAAAGGUUUGGCCUAAUAAGCUGAGCUCAUGACGGUACCGUAAGAAUAAGCACCGGCUAACUACGUGCCAGCAGCCGCGGUAACAC
rnacentral:rRNA from 1 species